GUCAAAGUCGAUAACACAUAACAUUUGAUUUUAGUCUUUAUUUUGGCAGCAACAAGCGAGCGCGUCCCAUGGCGCCCGAGGGCAAAGGGCCCAAGGCCCAACCCAAUUUCACGUGUGCCCCACACACACACACAGACACACAUUAUAGUCUCCUGCUCCUUCGUAUGUGAUUCCUUCUGUUGUUGUUGGCCUUGCGGCUCGGCGAAAAGAAAGAAAUAAUCAUAAUAAAAAAAGAGAGAACCAUAAAACGGGAAGCCCCCGUGAGCAGCGGAGCCAAGAAAUUUUCAUGCACUCCCAAGGCGCUGGCACAUUGAUAAAUUAAUGAUUGCCAGGAUGAUGACGAAGGCCCUGCAGGAUAAUGGAGAGAGACGAGCAGAAAGAAAGGGAACUGCGACUGAAGGUGCAGCAGUGGAUGGGAGCGGGUUGACUAUGGACUGGGCGUUGUGUUGUGUUUGCGAGUGAUGGCAAUGGCUGAGUUUUAUGCGAAAUCAAUCUAAAUGUAUGCAAAAGUUCAAGGAAUUUUCGGUUUCAAAAGACCAGAAUGGAUGAAUGAGAUGGGGUUCCAACUAAAGGUGGGGGAAAGGGAAGUGUUCAGUGUGGAAAGGAGUUCUAAAUGGUUG
rnacentral:lncRNA from 1 species